CCUGCACACUGUGUUCUGUGUGCCAUGCUUUGCUCAGAGUUGCGUCGGUUACUUAGAGUAUACGUAACUGAGGCCACUCUGGGUAGAGUAAGGCUCACUAAAUAUAACUCUUCUACU
rnacentral:precursor_RNA from 13 species